UAGCUAAUACCGCAUAAGAGUAGAUGUUGCAUGACAUUUGCUUAAAAGGUGCAAUUGCAUCACUACCAGAUGGACCUGCGUUGUAUUAGCUAGUUGGUGGGGUGACGGCUCACCAAGGCGACGAUACAUAGCCGACCUGAGAGGGUGAUCGGCCACACUGGGACUGAGACACGGCCCAGACUCCUACGGGAGGCAGCAGUC
rnacentral:rRNA from 1 species